UUUACUGUUUCUUUAUAAUGUCUGUGUCCUUCGCCAUCCUUUUUUGUCUUUCUUUUCUUUCCUUUUCCUUAUUGGCAACCUUCUCAUAUAGCACCAAAAACCCAGAUAAUAAACCAGCCAGAAAAGAAGCUUGAGUCGUAACAGAGGAGUAUCACUCGGUAAAUGGGCUGAAACUUGAAACAGGGAAAAAAGUUGUUCUUUUGUUCAUUAAUAGAUGCUUAUAAUCAAAACCCGGAAACCAGUUUUUGGUCACAGAGAAUAAAAUUGAUCUUUUGUACGGUUACUAGGCUGCUCCUUGACGUAUUGGACCGUUGGAUUAUUAUGAUCAGGAAAUAAGCACAAAGGGCUGAGAGAUUUCAAGACUUCUAAUUUUUCAAUCUUAAAGUGAGUAGUUUGUAGUAGAAGAAACUGUUUCGGGCGAUCCAUCACCGAGUUAUCCGAAUUAAGAAUUCUUAUCCGUGGCCGGAGUCAGGAAGUUGUAUUGUAGAGGCUAAAGUCAUGGCAACUGUGA